rnacentral:rRNA from 1 species
UUUUGGUUAGUCAGCGGAGAUAACAAUCUCCAGUUCCCAAAGAAACACAGAAGCUAAGCAAAUUUGCGCUUGGUUAGUAUCCGAAUGGGUGACCAUCUGGGUAAUCGCGUGUUCCUAGAU